CAGAUGGAGGGAGCAUUUAAAGUUGUGAUACUGAAGAUUCCCACCCGACUGAAAGCAAAUUCCAAGGGCAUGAAGGUAUUAUCUUCAGAAGUCCUAGAGACCUCAAGGAAGACUAUUUUCCUACAUAGAAAAAGACUAAAAUACUGAAGAAAAGGCCAGUCAUCUCAUGUCGUCUUAUGUAAGAGAAACACAGACAGUUUGAAUAACAUAAACUGCCUCAAUGCCUUAUAAUUUUGAAACAACUUGGGUUGCCCUAAAGCAUAUCAUAGACCUUAAUAAAGAAUAAGCCUUUA